rnacentral:misc_RNA from 1 species
AGUAGUUUCUGAAACAUUUAGAUUUUAGCUUGAAAUGAGACAUUUGAUUGGUAAACUUUUGUUUCAAUAUGCCAUCAAAUUAUAAGCUAACAUAUUCAGUCUUGCUUAUUUGGCACUUUGCUCCAUAUAGGAGCCUGCAUCGUUAGUAGAUUAUUCUUAGUAAUGGGUUUGCUUAUUUGGCACUUUGCUCCUUGUAGGAGCAGUAGAUUAGCGUUAGAAAUUUGAUAUUAGUUCUAAAGAGUUACUCGUUUUUUGUACGUGUGUUUUCAGUUUGCAUCAGGGAGCCUGGAU